GGGCCCGCACAAGCGGUGGAGCAUGUGGUUUAAUUCGAUGCAACGCGAAGAACCUUACCAGGGUUUGACAUCCUGCGAACUUUCUAGAAAUAGAUUGGUGCCUUCGGGAACGCAGUGACAGGUGCUGCAUGGCUGUCGUCAGCUCGUGUCGUGAGAUGUUGGGUUAAGUCCCGUAACGAGCGCAACCCCUAUCCUUAUUUGCCAGCACAUUAUGGUGGGAACUAUAAGGAGACUGCCGGUGAUAAACCGGAGGAAGGCGGGGACGACGUCAAGUCAUCAUGGCCCUUACGACCAGGGCUACACACGUGCUACAAUGGGAUGGACAAAGAGUCGCGAAGCCGCGAGGUGUAGCU
rnacentral:rRNA from 1 species